AACAUGUGCAAGGUAUGUACUUUAUUUUAUUAUUAUUUUGCUUAAUUAUUGAAUCUCUCCUUAGAAUUCUUGAUAUUUAACUAAAAUACAAGGAGUUGGAUAUACAGGCAAGACCCUCUGGUGUAGAAUUAGGGUUCAGCCAAGUUUUAUGCUAAGAAAAAUUCAUUGCGCCCAGAAUAUAUGGUACAUAUAUGUGCAUGUGUUUCUCAUUUUAGCCUCUGAAUUUGACAUAAUUUUAGAAAAUUUUUUAUUCUUGUCAACUUGUGUUCCUAGUGACCCCAUCCUUUAUAGCAUAUGGUCCGUCAGUCCAUGUGUUUAUAUUAUAAUGUUGAGUUUAUAUCUUAAUUGGGAGAAUUAAAGUUCUAAUUUUUAUGCUUAUGCUUUCUGUUCAAU
rnacentral:misc_RNA from 1 species